CCUUUAUAUUGUAUAAAACUUAAUUUUACAGUCUGUCAAACCUAUUUGGUAUUCUUUCUAUAGUGUAUAGUAUUCCUAAUUUUAUUACAGGAAAUGAUUUUCCAUUCUCUGUAUGACUUGCAGGCUGGACCAGCAAAUAUUUUCACCCACAUAUUAGUCUUCACCUCUAUAUUCUACACAGUGAAACAGAAAUAUCGUCCGCUUCUAACCAGCUUGGUUGGGCUGGUUGGGGGCAGCCAUGGGAUGCACGGAUUCGGUCUUCGGCAUUUACAAUGAAAAUUUCCUUUCGUUGUUUUUUGGUUGUUGAAGGGUUUGAGCAUGAGGAAAAAGGUGAUUUUGCAACCUCACCAAAGCAUUUCAGAAUUGCUUGGGUGAAGCUGAUGACUGUGUGCGUUGCAGGACUAUAACAAAAUGGCGCAACUACAUCUAUUCGUGGACUUUGAAAUAGAAACAAGGGGACUGUUCGUGUGUGAAUAAAGGCUUGCCAUUGCCCUUGCUGAUGUUGUGGGACAGAGCCAGUGUAUGUGUACAGAAGUUACGAACAACACAGAAUGUUGACUGACUUUGAAGGUGCUACAAGAAAAAAUGAAGUAGGGUUCUGCAUUUGGACUAGCAAAGAGUUCCACCAGUACCAGGUUGUUGGGAGGAAGCUCCCUACAGCAUCUGAUGAGCACCCCGGAAUUUUCUGAAUGAAGCUCUGGGCCACCAAUGAGGUUUGCGCCAGGUCCAAGUUCUGGUAUUUCCUGAGGAAGCUGAAGAAGGUCAAGAAGAGCAAUGGCCAAGUGCUUGCCAUUAAUGAGUGGUUCCUCCUCAACUCUCCUCCUGGCUUAAUCCAAUUUGUUGCCAAAGGAGGCUGCGUCAGAGGCAUCCCCUCGAAAUGACCGGCUGAUUUGGAGAUGUGACAUGAAGCAGAAACAGUUAAGGAAAUCUCAUAUGAAAUGGGUAUUUUAUGUUGGAGUUCUUUCAACUUUAUUUUGCUAAUUCAGUGAGAGUAGUUGUCAAAGAUGGCAUCAAAGCUUAGCAAAUCUAUGCUUGAUGGGGUUGAAAUUACGAUUUAAUCAGUGAUAGGACUUUUGGUUGAAUCCCAAGCAGGGAAUGCAUUCUUUGCCAUGGUUCCCGGACAGGUCCUCUUGGCUUCCCUUGAUGCUAUCAUUAAAACCCUGCAAAGGACAAGAAAGAACAGAAGCCACCUCUAUAGGAAAGGCAUCAAGAGAAAGAUCCCAUUCCAACAGACAUCAAGGCAGAAAAUCCCCCUCCACCACCCAAUAGCAUAUAUAUAUAUAAAGACCGGUCCAAACUCUUUUAAACAAUGAACAUUCUAAAACUGCUAAUAUUUUGAUGCUAUUUUGAUGUUUUGAUUGCUGCUUAGUUUAUUAAAAUAUGAUCAAUAUUUUAACAUGACAAGUAGCAUAUAAAACAUGUUAUUAGUCUAUUUUUAGUAAUAUAAACUUGCCAAAUAAAGCAUUAUGCCACUAUUAA